rnacentral:sRNA from 1 species
GCCAGGCACAGAGGCACAUGCCUGUAAUCCCAGCUACUCAGGAAGCUGAGGCAGGAGGGUUGCAAGUUCAAAGCCACUUAGCAACUUAGCAAAAUUCUGUCUCAA